UGUACCACCUUGUCGGGUAGCUUAUCAGACUGAUGUUGACUGUUGAAUCUCAUGGCAACAGCAGUCGAUGGGCUGUCUGACAUUUUGGUAUC
ensembl:miRNA MIR21 microRNA mir-21